ensembl:processed_transcript
AAGUUACCCAGCCCAGAAUAUGUUCUCUUCACUGACAGUGAACUACAACAGAUGAGACGCACAUACUUCGAGCAGCAGCGUCUUGGAAAAGAGGUUGAACAUGCCAUUGCUGUUUUUACUGCCCUACCGCUGCUCUUCCCAUCUGGGUCUGCAGCACCGAAGAAACAGGUCCCAAUCAGUGAGGCUCUUUUCCAUGUUCUGACGCCCUCAGAGGACCCGGAUACCUACAUCCACAGGCGUGCAUUUUCCAGUCCUGUCUUGCUGGUUGGUGAGGAGAACUGCAUGGUGGUUGUAGGUACAACCCCAGUUCUAACAUUUGACAAAGACUUGCUCUAUGAGGGGCCUCUCUACCUCCUGGCCUAUUACUAUGCAUUUCAUCUCACAUAUCCAAAGUGUCUUGCAACACUCCUGUCUGUGUUGCAAACACAAGUUCUGAGAGAUGUCAUCCACGAGCAGGAUGAAACCCCCUCGUACAAAAAGGCCAUUCAUGAAUGGAGAAUGUUUGUUGACUAAUUGCUGUUUCAAACUGCUGUGGCUGAGAGACAGCUGCAUUUUUUUUUCGGCCAUUACAUUUGCACUUGAUUUGUGCUGUUAGGAGUUUUUCCCCAUUUUCAGGAGAUUAAAUGUAUCUAACAUACAGUAAUGCAGCACAGCAAAACCAAAAAAAGUAAUUGCUGUGUGUAACUUUACAGGACUGCUGAGGGUAUACAGUGUUGUUUUGUGCCAGAGUAUAUUUUUUGUUGUUAUUAUUAACGUUGGACUGUUCAUCCUGUUUUGCUGUACCUCAGUUGUUUAAGAGGAAAAUGUUCAUUUUUGAAUCUGC